UGCAGCAUGGCAUAAUGGUUCAAGUGCUGGACUACGAUUCUGGAGACCAGGGUUCAGUUCCCUGCAUGGCCA